rnacentral:sRNA from 1 species
UUUUCCAGAACUCUGUCUGCACUGAGACCCUCUUCCCCCAGUCCUCUUCUCGCGGUCGACUCCUUCCCAUCCGUGGCGACAGAACGGCGGUUACAGGAGAGGCCCCGGUCCCUCGCCGCGCCGCCCCGAGGGGCACUUCCGGCGGCGGUUCACUUCCUGGUUGGGUGGAUGGAGCCGGGCGGGAGCGCGCGCGGGGGAGGGGCGGCGGGUUUAAACUUACACGAAUCGCUUUCUGGAGGAGGAGGGGACCCGCCGCGCGAUUGACACGCAUAUUCCUAUAGGCAUCCUCCCUCAGCCCCCACCCCCACGGCCGGAUUCGGGUGGCUCCUCUCCGAGGUGAAAUCCGAGAAGAAAUCCUUGGAUCUCUUUUCUUUAAAAAAAAAAAAAAAAAAAAAAAAAUCUAGAAACCAUCGGUAUUUUGCUUUGCUGCUCCCUAUUCGCAAGAUGAAGAAGUUUUUCGACUCCCGGCGAGAGCAGGGCGGCUCUGGCCUGGGCUCCGGCUCCAGCGGAGGAGGGGGCAGCACCUCGGGCCUGGGCAGUGGCUACAUCGGAAGAGUCUUCGGCAUCGGGCGACAGCAG